GGCAGACACCUAAUUUAUGGAUUACAUUUCAAACAGGAAACAGCAAGCCAGCGGACCUGUGUGUUCAAAAACUUAUUUUUGAGCCUGGAGAGUCAGAAAGACCAGGUUCCCAGUUCAGAAACUAGUCUAUUUGGUCCAUGGCGUCUGGAGAGUCAGAACGACCAGGUUCCCAGUUCAGAAACUAGUCUAUUUGGUCCAUGGCGUCUGGAGAGUCAGAACGACCAGGUUCCCAGGUCAGAAACUAUUCUAUUUGGUCCAUGGCGUCUGGAGAGUCAGAACGACCAGGUUCCCAGUUCAGAAACUAGUCUAUUUGGUCCAUGGCGCCUGGAGAGUCAGAACGACCAGGUUCCCAGUUCAGAAACUAGUCUAUUUGGUCCAUGGCGUCUGGAGAGUCAGAACGACCAGGUUCCCAGUUCAGAAACUAGUCUAUUUGGUCCAUGGCGCCUGGAGAGUCAGAACGACCAGGUUCCCAGUUCAGAAACUAGUCUAUUUGGUCCAUGGCGCCUGGAGAGUCAGAACGACCAGGUUCCCAGUUCAGAAACUAUUCUAUUUGGUCCAUGGCGUCUGGAGAGUCAGAACGACCAGGUUCCCAGUUCAGAAACUAGUCUAUUUGGUCCAUGGCGUCUGGAGAGUCAGAACGACCAGGUUCCCAGUUCAGAAACUAGUCUAUUUGGUCCAUGGCGUCUGGAGAGUCAGAACGACCAGGUUCCCAGUUCAGAAACUAGUCUAUUUGGUCCAUGGCGCCUGGACAAUCAAGCACAGCUCAAAUAUUUGAAAUGAUUUCAAAUAGUACUUGAACCCAGGUCUGGGAACCAGCCCUCAGAAGUGGGUCGGGUUGGCCGGCUUGGGACCGUUCUGGACACUCCGGUGCCAUGCGUCUGGGCCGGUGGGCCAAUACAAAACAGCAGUUUCUUCCUCAACUUGACUUCUUUUGAAGGACACUGACAAAUGAUUUGAAUUAGCGAAGCUCAGAGAGAGAAAACAAGACUGAAUCAAUGAUCUAAUGGAUGUGUAACUCUGGAAGGAAGA